rnacentral:rRNA from 1 species
UGGGGAAUAUUGCACAAUGGGCGAAAGCCUGAUGCAGCAACGCCGCGUGAGGGACGACGGCCUUCGGGUUGUAAACCUCUUUUAGCAAGGAAGAAGCGAAAGUGACGGUACUUGCAGAAAAAGCGCCGGCUAACUACGUGCCAGCAGCCGCGGUAAUACGUAGGGCGCAAGCGUUAUCCGGAAUUAUUGGGCGUAAAGAGCUCGUAGGCGGUUUGUCGCGUCUGCUGUGAAAACCCGAGGCUCAACCUCGGGCCUGCAGUGGGUACGGGCAGACUAGAGUGCGGUAGGGGAGAUUGGAACUCCUGGUGUGGCGGUGGAAUGCGCAGAUAUCAGGAAGAACACCGAUGGCGAAGGCAGAUCUCUGGGCCGUAACUGACGCUGAGGAGCGAAAGGGUGGGGAGCAAACAGGCUUAGAUACCCUGGUAGUCCACCCCGUAAACGUUGGGAACUAGUUGUGGGUCCAUUCCACGGAUUCCGUGACGCAGCUAACGCAUUAAGUUCCCCGCCUGGGGAGUACGGCCGCAAGGCUAAGACUCAAAUGAAUUGACGGGGUCAUAGCUGUUUCCU